UACGAAGGGGGCUAGCGUUGUUCGGAAUUACUGGGCGUAAAGCGCGCGUAGGCGGUUUUGCAAGCCAGAGGUGAAAUGCCUGAGCUCAACUUAGGAAUUGCCUUUGGGACUGCGAGGCUUUGAGGACUGGAGAGGUGAGUGGAAUUCCCAGUGUAGAGGUGAAAUUCGUAGAUAUUGGGAAGAACACCGGUGGCGAAGGCGACAUCCUGGACCGGUAUUGACGCUGAGGCGCGAAAGCCAGGGGAGCAAACAGG
rnacentral:rRNA from 1 species